CGUGGGUUCGAGCCCCACGUUGG
rnacentral:piRNA from 2 species